UGAGCGAAGGAGUGACGGAGACGGAUAGUGUGACCCUCUUAAUGGAUUGAGGGCGAAGCGAAGCGGCUGGUUACCAGGCAAAUCCGGUAACCAUAAGGCUAGAUCGUGACAGGUAAGCGAAAUCUUAGGAAAGUAGCGAAGCACAUGAUGACGGCUUCCAGGAAAAGCUUCUGGCAAUGCAUAUGCGGCCCGUACCAAAACCGACACAGGUGGGCAGGGAGAGAAUCCCGAGGUGAGCGAGAGAACUGUUGCCAAGGAACUCGGCAAAAUGACUCCGUAAGUUAGCGAGAAGGAGUGCUUAAGCAAUUAAGCCGCAGUGAAGAGGCCCAAGCGACUGUUUAACUAAAACACAGCUCUCUGCGAAGUCGCAAGACGAAGUAUAGGGGGUGACACCUGCCCGGUGCUGGAAGGUUAAGAGGAUCUGUUAAGAGCGAUCUGAAGCAGUGAUCCGAAGCCCCAGUGAACGGCGGCCGAAACUAUAACGGUCCUAAGGUAGCGAAAUUCCUUGUCAGGUAAGUUCUGACCCGCACGAAAGGUGUAACGAUUUGGGCGCUGUCUCGGCAGCAGACUCGGUGAAAUCUUAGUACCUGUGAAAAUGCAGGUUACCCGCAACUAGACGGAAAGACCCCAUGGAGCUUUACUGCAGCCUGAUAUUGAAUUCUGGUCAUACAUGUACAGGAUAGGUGGGAGACAAAGAGACGUGCACGCCAGUGUACGAGGAGUCGACGUUGGGAUACCACUCUUGUGUGACCGGGGUUCUAACCUGGUAUCGAGAACAGGUACGGGGAGAGUGUCAGGUGGGCAGUUUGACUGGGGCGGUCGCCUCCCAAAGAGCAACGGAGGCGCCCAAAGGUACGCUCAGAUUGGAUGGAAACCAAUCGUCGAGUGCAAUUGCAGAAGCGUGCUUGACUGUGAGACAGACAAGUCGAACAGGGACGAAAGUCGGGAAUAGUGAUCCGGCGGUGCCGAAUGGAAGGGCCGUCUCUCAACGGAUAAAAGCUACCCUGGGGAUAACAGGCUGAUCUCGCCCAAGAGUUCACAUCGACGGCGAGGUUUGGCACCUCGAUGUCGGCUCAUCGCAUCCUGGAGCUGGAUUCGGUUCCAAGGGUUGGGCUGUCCGCCCAUUAAAGCGGUACGCGAGCUGGGUUCAGAACGUCGUGAGACAGUUCGGUCCCUAUCUGUUGUGGGCGAAGGAGAUCUGCGGAGAGCUGUCCUCAGUACGAGAGGACCGGGAUAGACCUACCGCUGGUGCACCGGUUGUUCCGCCAGGGGCAUAGCCGGGUAGCUAAGUAGGGAAAGGAUAAGCGCUGAAAGCAUCUAAGCACGAAGCCUACUCCAAGAUGAGAUCUCCCAUUCGCAAGAAGUAAGACCCCUUAAAGACGA
rnacentral:rRNA from 1 species